rnacentral:miRNA from 1 species
AUACAGACACAUGCACACACA